UUCAUGAUCAAAAAGGGAUAUACGAUUUUUUAAAAAUGCUUUGAUUUUCGUUUUAUAUUUAGAAUAACAAGAAAGUAAAAUCAGUAAGAGGCAGAAACGAAAAAAGUCAGUUUUUUCAUUUUCUGAGACCGGAAGUGGUCAUCAGCAAGUGUGGAGCCAAACGACAACAAGAUUCUCAGAGGGCGGAGCCAGAGAACAGCGAUUGGUCAGACCAUAGAUAAUAUAGAAGACAGCGUGCUAGCGUAUCUAGUGUAUGUGUAUCUGUGGUCGGCACGUCUGGUAGCAUCUCUGGCUGCUGUUGACCUUGUUUUUGGAGUAAAACACGGUGGAAGCUGAAUUAGUGAGGAUGACUCCUGCUCCUGUCAUCUCUAAGCUCCUCACACAUCUUUACCUGCACAUGAGGAAAAUCACUCCUGUAGAAUGCAGAUGUUCAGAGGGAGAUGAUGCCACAUCUGGUCCAGCUGAUGGAAGGUCUUGAAGUUCUCUGACUGGCCUCGACUGAAGAUGGUCGUCUCACUGGAUUUAAGAUGCACAAUGAGGGACGUCUACAGAGACUGAGAAAGAGUCUCACCACAUCCUGACAUGAGGAAAAAGACUUUAUUGAAGACUACAAUGAGAAAAACUAUCAGACAGCAGACGGCUGCAUUCAAGGUGAGCUCUGAACAUUUGAUCUGGAACAGGAAUUCAAUAACGGCAGCAUGAGCUUCAUUUCAGUCUGUAGCUGCUGAAUUCAUGGAUGAAUCAUCUGGCACUAGAGAAGAAGACCAUCAAACAUCCACGUCAGCUGAUGGAGGUCCAAGAGUCUCAC